rnacentral:rRNA from 1 species
UAGGGAAUCUUCGGCAAUGGGGGGAACCCUGACCGAGCAACGCCGCGUGAGUGAAGAAGGUUUUCGGAUCGUAAAGCCCUGUUGUUAAGGAAGAACGAGUGUGAGAAUGGAAAGUUCAUGCUGUGACGGUACUUAACCAGAAAGGGACGGCUAACUACGUGCCAGCAGCCGCGGUAAUACGUAGGUCCCGAGCGUUGUCCGGAUUUAUUGGGCGUAAAGCGAGCGCAGGCGGUUAGAAAAGUCUGAAGUGAAAGGCAGUGGCUCAACCAUUGUAGGCUUUGGAAACUGUUUAGCUUGAGUGCAGAAGGGGGGAGUGGAAUUCCAUGUGUAGCGGUGAAAUGCGUAGAUAUAUGGAGGAACACCGGUGGCGAAAGCGGCUCUCUGGUCUGUAACUGACGCUGAGGCUCGAAAGCGUGGGGAGCGAACAGG